rnacentral:lncRNA from 1 species
GAGGAAGAUAUUUCCAGGCUAAGAGCUGAAAGAUAAGGCUCAAAUGGAGUCCUGUUUUGAAUCUCCCAUCUGUCAUCCCGGAUCCCAGACGUGCUGCCUGCCUUGCCCUCGGCUGCCUGAUGCCCCUUGACCCCUCUCCAGACCUCCUGGACUCUUUCUUUGCCACUGCUCUGACCUCCACAUACUUUGAGUGCUUCUGGUCCUCCUGGUAAAUCUCGAGAUGUCCUGUCUCCAGCUGCUCACAGCUCUGGGGUGACUGUGACUGUGGCUCUGGCUCCUGCCAGUUGCUCAGAGAUGAGGCACCUGUGUGCUGCGUUUUGGGGAGCUGGGCUUCUACAUGCUUCUGCCACAAGUGGGAACACUUGUAGUGGCUUCCAGAACCCCACAUCCUAGCACAGAUUUGGAAGGCUGGAUUCCUUGCUGGCAGCAGUAGGCUCAUCAGAACAGGAGGUCCAGGCUGCCUCUCAAAAUCCAGGUGAGAGAAUGCCACACACCACACAGGUAUUGAUGGGCUCACACAUCUCCAUCAGCCCUGUCCUUGGAGGGAGGCUGAGCACUAAGGACAAGUUUGGCCUGGUGACUGAAGAUACUCUGUGGUUGGCCUUACGGGUCAGUUUAUCCUUCUGGAAAGCUGUCCCUAGAGGUUUGGGUGUGACAGCUCCUGCCUUCAUUCCCUCAGCCUUGAUUACAGUGGUGGUAGGGAUCAAAUGCCCAGGAUUUUCCAGUCUGCCUGUUGCCAAUAUGAGUGCUUGCCUAUUACCCAAGGGUCCUCAUGAGACACCUCUGGCCGGCAGCCCAAGUGCCGUGGGGGUAGUAAUAAACUCUUACUGCUUUGUAAGUGCAGCCUUCAGCACAGACCCUGGCCAAAAGCGUCUGAUUCUUAUCAGAGGCUGAAGGACAGGUUUUGCUGGAGUUUCUAUGCCCAAACUUGAAAAGCAAGUUCAUCUGCCCCUUUACUCUGCAAACAUGGGGUUCCAUCUUAUUCUUGAGAAAAGGCCAAACACUCCGCCUCCAUAAUGACUCUAGAGAUCACUGUGUGGCCUAGUGACCACUGGCUGCUGGUCACUGGAGCAAGGCUGACCAACUGUGACACUUUGCCUGGGACUGAGAGGUCUCCUGGGACUUGGGAUGUUCAAUGCUAAAACCGGGGAAGUCCCAAGCAAUCCGGGAUGAGUUGAUCACUUUAACCAGAACUGAUCCUUGUCCUCUUAGACCAGCUCCUCAGCAUCC